AAUGUGGGCCGCUGUCACGUGUGGGCCCGGCGACACGUGUCCAUCAACGAGUGGAUGCACCCAAUAUUUUCUCACUUUGGCGCAGAAAAUUGGCGUAGAAAAUAAGCAUUUAGAAAAGAUGGGCGCGUCUUCACUUUUUGUUUGGUCAUAUUUUUUAUUUUUUUUGGUCAAAGUUUGGUCAUAUUGGACGAUCAAUUUGUUUAGCAAUCAGUGGCCCCAAACCCCCACAAACCACCAGGGCCGGUUGUCCCGCUCGCCAGUCGCCACCCAGAUCCGGUGCCGGGUUUAGCCACUCUAGUUGAGUCGCUGUGUUGCCGUUGAUCGAGGUCGUCGACAAGCUCUCACUGCUCCGUUGCAACGCGCUCGAGGCGUCUUUACGUCCCAGAUUUGUCGUUGUGCUGGGGCUCGUCUCUUCGGACCCAGUCUUGAUUAAACCGACGGAAGUUCCCAGGUCACUUUUCAGCAACAAUGGCAUUCAAAAUCUACACUGGGUUCGUGUCUGCACUCUUCUUGAAUGCGCUCUUUGUCAGUCAAGCCAUGGAAUACGGUCAUUCCAAAGCCUUUCCGAAUAUAAGUUGCAUUGAUGCUGAGAGGGAGGCUCUUAUGAAGUUCAAGCAGGAUCUCACCGAUCCUUCAAGACGUCUGCAGUCAUGGAUCGGUGAGGGUUGUUGCGAGUGGGAAGGAGUUGAAUGCAGCGAGAAGACAGGCCGCGUCAUGAAGCUCGAUCUUCGUAAUCCCUGUGAUGGCUUAGAGUGUAGCCUGGGAGGUAAGAUACAUCCUGCUCUAAACAACCUGAAGGAUUUGAAGUAUCUAGACCUUAGCUUCAAUAAUUUUUCAACCCAAGGAAUCCCAAAGUUCUUAGCUUCUCUUAAAAAACUGGAGUAUCUCAACCUCUCAUCUGCAGGCUUCUAUGGACAUGUUUCCAGUCAACUUAGUAACCUUUCCAGCGUACGGUACUUGGAUCUUAGUAAUUUGUGGUGGUGGCCCUCUAUUAAAAUAGAAAACCUCCGGUGGCUUUCGACAUUUUCUAAGUUGAAGUACUUGGACCUGUCUUAUGUUCCCCUUCCCAACUCCAAAGAAUGGUUAAGUCCUAUCAACAUGCUUUCCUCCCUGGAGUUUCUGAUAUUGAAGGGAUGUAAUUUGGAAGAUGUUUCAUCCUCUUUGCAUGUCAAUUUCACUUCUCUUAGAUUCCUUGAUCUGAGUCACAACUCCAUGAAUUCAUUUGUUCCUCCUUGGUUUCAAAACUUGAGCAAACUCGAACAUCUUGAUUUAAGUUUUAAUAAUCUCCAAGGCAUAUUCCCCACCGAUAUCCUUGAAAAUAGUCGAUGGCUUAGAUUCCUUGAUGUCUCUAAGAAUAGGCUGGAGGGUGAACUUCUGAAAAACAUGAGCGAUUUCUGCAACCUGCAAGUACUGAACUUGCGUUCUAACAAAUUUAGUGGGAGGAUUUCGGAUACCAAAGACGGUGCUUUGAUUUGUGGACGAAGUUACAUGAAGACUAUUGAUGUUUCCGGCAACAAUUUCAGUGGUCGCCUACCCAAUCAAUUUGGGGAUUUCAAAGAUCUUGAAUUCCUUGAUCUCUCAUGGAACUCUAUUUCAGGUCCUAUACCCGCUACUGUGGGCCAACUAUCAUCUCUGAAAAAAUUGUACCUCUCUUCUAACAAAUUGAGUGGGAACAUUCCAGAAAGUGUUGGGCGACUAUCCAAUCUAGAGGUGAUGGACAUUCGUAAUAAUCAAUUGGAUGGAGUUGUCAGCGAACUUCACUUUGCCAAUCUCAGUAGCUUGACCGUGUUGAACUUUUAUUUGAAUGAGCUUGUUGUAAAUGUUAGCACAUCUUGGGUUCCUCCUUUCCAGAUUCAAGUGAUUUUCAUGUCCAAUUGCAAAGUGGGACCACAAUUCCCAAGCUGGCUUCGAAUGCAAAGGAACAUUUCGGUAUUGUACAUGUCAAAUGCUAGCAUCUCAGAUGAAGUUCCUUAUUGGCUACCUGAAGUUUUAUCCAACACUAAACGACUGGAUCUUUCCGGCAACAUGCUCAGAGGCAACAUAUCCCGAAUUAUUGGAAAGAAGAUGCCACUGUUAAGGCUGGUGUCACUUUCUGGAAAUAACCUCGGUGGUGGCAUUCCAAAUUCAUUAUGCAUGUCUGAUGAAUUGUCUUUUCUUGAUCUCUCCAAGAACCAGCUUUCUGGGAGACUUCCGCAAUGUUGGAGGAAGUCGCAAGCAAAUUUGGAGUGGAUUUCAUUGGGAGACAACAAGUUAAAUGGUCAGAUUCCAGACUCUCUAUGCCAUCUGGAGCGAUUAGGAGUUCUAGGCCUACAUGAAAAUGGCUUGAACGGAGUGCUUCCAAAAUGUUUACUAAAGCUAGAUUUGGUAAACCUCGAUCUCAGUGACAAUCAAUUCACUGGUAGAAUACCUCCAUUUGGACAACAUUCUCGAUCAUUGAGGACAAUCGAUCUUGCGAGAAAUUACUUCAAUGGGGACAUUCCUUUGCAGCUAUGCCAUCUUGUUAAUCUCCAGUAUUUAAACCUAGCACAUAACAACCUAUCCGGAGGCAUUCCUCAUUGUUUCAACAACUUCACGCAGAUGUGGGCCAACUCCACUUUUACUCCGUAUGGGAGGUUCCCGUUGGGGUUUUCUAUUAUGGUUAAUAUAAAAGGAAAGAGCCUAGAAUACACCACCUCGCUCCGUUAUUUAUUUUCCAUUGACCUUUCAAGCAAUGCAUUGGAUGGAGAAAUACCAAAAGGGCUGACUAGGCUGGCUCGACUUCAGAAUUUGAACCUCUCUCAAAAUAAGUUGAUUGGAGAAAUCCCUUCAGAUAUUGGCAACUUGAGAGAUUUAGAAUCACUGGAUCUAUCCAAUAACAAGCUAUCGGGUGAAAUCCCUCCUAGCAUAUCCAAUUUAGACUUUCUAAGUCAUUUGGAUCUUUCCUUCAACAAUUUAUUUGGUCCUAUUCCAUCGGGCAAUCAUCUAAGCACUCUGGACAAUCAAUCUGUUUAUCGUGGCAAUGAUGAACUUUGCGGAGCUCCUCUUUUGAAAGUUUGUCCUGGAAAUGAGCAUAAUGAUAUGGACAGACGAGAUAGUUACAAUACGAGUGAAGAUGAGUCUAAAAAAGGCUACUCUGUUGUUUGGUUUUACUCAAGAUUGGGAGUGGGUUUCCCGGUGGUAUUCUUGGGAUUUUGUGGCAUAUUACAUAUCUUCCCCUAUUUUCGGCGGAAGAUUCGAUUGUCGAAAAAUUGUCGAUCGCGAGAGUAAUUACCAUGCUUUGGUUCAAGAGAGGUUGUCAAUUCACACUACGCAUAUAAGAAGUUAUUUAAUUGCUGCUAAAGCUUCAAGUAAUAAGGAAAUGCGCACUAUUCUCCAACAUUUCUUUCUUUCUUUCCAAUUGUCAGUACUAAAAUGGUGCUCAGGCACACUAAACACAGGUUUCUUUCUUCAUCUGGGAUAAAAAAUUGACGCUUCCCAAUCUAAUGGGACUGAAUAUCUAUGUUUGACAGUGCGAAUUGCCUAUUGCUUUACUGUCGGUAGCUUUAUAUCAACUGCAAUUAUUUUUUUCCACUUAGUGGGGAGCCCAUAAAGUUACCAUUUUUUCAUUCCUCUCUGUUUUCUUCUUCUUUAUCAUGAAGGAAUUACAGAUUUUUAACUUCUAGAAUUGAAACAAAUGAGAAGGGUCUCUUGACCGUUCGCGGCGAUAUUUUGUUUAGAAGUCUAAAGAAAAAAAAA